rnacentral:rRNA from 1 species
AGAGUUUGAUCCUGGCUCAGAACGAACGCUGGCGGCGUGGAUAAGACAUGCAAGUCGAGCGAGAUUUUUCGUUGUAGCAAUACGAUGAAAAGUCUAGCGGCGAACGGGUGCUUAACACGUGGGCAACCUGCCAUGAAGUGGGGGAUAGCUCGCCGAAAGGCGAAUUAAUACCGCAUGUGAUUAGAGAGGACAUCCUUUCGAAAUUAAAGUCGGGGCAACCUGACGCUUCUUGUGGGGCCCGCGGCCUAUCAGCUAGUUGGUGAGGUAACGGCUCACCAAGGCUUUGACGGGUAGCUGGUCUGAGAGGACGACCAGCCACACUGGGACUGAGACACGGCCCAGACACCUACGGGUGGCAGCAGUCGAGAAUUUUUGACAAUGGGGGAAACCCUGAUCGAGCGACGCCGCGUGGAGGAUGAAGGUCUUCGGAUUGUAAACUCCUGUCAUUGGGGAACAAGGUGCAUACGUUAACUGCGUGUGUAUUGAUAGUACCCGAAGAGGAAGGGACGGCUAACUCUGUGCCAGCAGCCGCGGUAAUACAGAGGUCUCAAGCGUUGUUCGGAUUCAUUGGGCGUAAAGGGUGCGUAGGCGGCGCGGUAAGUCGGGUGUGAAAUCUCGGAGCUUAACUCCGAAACUGCAUUCGAUACUGCCGUGCUUGAGGACUGGAGAGGAAACUGGAAUUUACGGUGUAGCGGUGAAAUGCGUAGAUAUCGUAAGGAAGACCAGUGGCGAAAGGCGGGUCUCUGGACAGUUCCUGACGCUGAGGCACGAAGGUCAGGGGAGCAAACGGGAUUAGAUACCCUAGUAGUCC